CCCACCCCCGCCCCCGUCCUCGCCCAGUCCGCCGCUCCGGUGCGUGCAUGCGCGCGCACUAGGCGCCAGGCACGCGGAAAGGUCGUCCGCUCUACUUUGUUGCCAUCGCAACGUCAGGUUUUGCCUUUGCCGCAGUGACAUCACUGCUCAGCAUUGCCACCACCACCUUGCUUUUGCUCAGUGGACCUCAAAGGUUGAAGCCCGCGACAUUCUCCUGGCUGCAGCACAAUGAAAACCCAGAUGUCAGUCUGCACCCAGGCCCACCGCCCCAGACCACUCACCCCAGACACUCAGGUGCAAGCUCAAUGGCAGAGUGCUUGGCAAACAUGGACAAAGGCCCGAUUGACCACCAACUCUGAAUCUUCACUUUUGGUGACUGUGUGACACCGGGCAGUGGGAUUGAUGCUCUAAACCUCCGUUUCUCCGUCUGUAAAACGGAGUUGCUAUCAUGGCUAUCUCAGGACUGUGGUGAGGAGGGCACAGUGCUGUAAGCCUCAUAUAGUGGCCGACUUCUCCUGGGAGGGCGUGUUCUUGUUAUUCUUCAUAACGUUGCCAGCCUGAGGCCAUGCUUAUGCUGUUUUAAUCUGGAGUUCUCAAAUCUGAACACCCAUUUUAACCACUCCUAUGGCCUGAUCAAGAGCUCCCCAGCCAGUUGGAUCCUCCUUUGUCUGACUCUCCCAAGACCCCAUCCAGAGAAGACAUUAGAAACUAGAGGCUGUGAGUUAAAGCUUAUCACCUCCCUCAGGACUAUAGGGAGGCCACAUGCCCUCCCUGAGACUCCCUGAACACCCCCUGCCAUACAGGCUCUGAUGGAUGGCUUAGUAGACAAGAUUUUUUUAAAGGAAAUAAAAAGCAGUGGAACAAGAGAAAUCAAACGCUAGCCUUCUACCAUCUGCCGCAGACCAGGAGCUCGUUAGCAUCUUCCAGGAGGCCGCCAGCACAGCCGCAGUAAUGAAGGAGACCCACGCCCAGUGCCAACCUGAGCCUGCUCUGCAGCUCCGACUUGAUGGACUUUGGUUGCCUGGUCUGAUUCCCUCCUUCAGGCUCCACAGAAUCUCCCGGUCUAGCCAGACAGAAGCUCCGGUGUGGCACGGAGAGAGUUACCCUUUUAUAAAGGUCUGCUCCAGGCAGUGAGAACAACGGAGGCGCUGGCCCAGCGAGCCGAGAAUAACACUUCAAACCCACAUUUGCUGCUGGGUCUGGGCCUCCUGGGCCUGCUCUCUCUGCCCUAAUCAAAAGCUCCGCACUGUGGAGCUUUGAAAAGCUGGGCUGUCAGAUCUGAGGUGUAGGAAGAGCAUAGCCUCCCUCAGUUCCACCUUGCCUCCUAAAGGCAAGUAGGUCAGUGCAAGAGUGUCCUGCGCUCCCACCCCGCGGCCGCCUGAAGGGCUUAGCGCUUUCAGGUCAGAAUAUCACAGGGCUGUGGAAAGGAUGUGAAGCUGAGGCAUGUGUCCCGAGGAAGUUUUAAGAAAUUCUGAUUUAUUUUCACUGUUUAAUUCUUCCUCCCUGGAGGAACCCAUGAGGGUAGAACCCAAGUGACUGAGGUGUGUGUGUGUGUGUGUGUGUGUGUGUGUGUGUGUGUGUGUGUGUAGAGGCCAUAGAUCAAACUUGGGUGUACCUUGUUAGGAGCUGUCUACCCAUUUUGAAACAGGGUCUCUCACUGGGACCUGGACUCACUAACUUGGCUAGGUUAGUCAGCAAGGAAUAAUCCUGUCUCCCAACUUAUUCCUGGCACUGCAAUUGAAAUUACAUAUGCACAGUACCACUCCUCCAUUUUUUCCAUAGGCAGUGGGGAUCAAAUUCAAGUCUGGGUUUGCAUAGCAAGCCCCCUUUGUGGACUGGGCCAUCUCAGCACACCCUGAGCCUUUAUUGGCUGGGCCAUCUCAGAACACCCUGAAACCUUUAGUUUCCUGGGUUCAUCAUUCACUGAACCUGUUUUGUUUUGUUGUGUUUUGUUUUUGGAUUUUUUGAGACAGGGUUUCUCUGUGUAGACCAGACUGGUCUUGAACUCGAACUCAGAAAUCCACCUGCCUCUGCCUCCCAAGUGCUGGGAUUAAAGGCAUGCGUCACCACCGCCCAGCUUCACUGAACCUGUUAACACCAACUCUCACAGAGUCUCAGGUCAGGACAUGAACUUAGCACUAGUGAACCUAACAUCCGUUAGCUACACUUUGAUGGCUGUGGGCUACCCAACACCAAACAAGCUGAAGUAGGCAUUGCCAGAGAGUUCCCAGAUGGGCCGGCGUAGACAGCAAGGGGCCAAGAGCUCACGCGGAAGCACCAGCUCUCUGUUGCUCAGCUUGAACACUACAUAGGGCUACAUAGGGGGACCUUGUCUCGAAAGACAGAAAAGAAAGACAUCAUAGUCCACUUGCAUAAGGACAAGACUAGAUUUAUCCUGGACCAAAGGUUGCCCUGGUAACGAGCAUAAAAGGGUUUCUCUUUAAGACAGGCCUGUCUCCCUCCGUUCCCCGCCUGUACAGCCACAGUGGAGCCGGUGAGCCUGACUGUGGAGACUCGAAACUGCUUGGUUUGUCUUACUCUUGAGGCCUGUAUCCUCUUACUCCGUGACACCAUCCUGUCACUGCUGGCCAGCUAUUGUUUCUGCUGAUUUAUUUUACACUCACACUGCCCAAUGUGGUGUGUGUCAUUAUCAUUACUCUCCCCUCACAGACAGGGAGACAGAGCUUCCUAAAGGCUAAUUUACUUAAGUUUACAUGGAUGGGGCAGAGCUGAGAAACCACAGGCAUUGAAGUGAAGUGGGUAAGUACGCAGACCCUGGCGAAAAGCAAGCUUUGUCAUACUUGGACAAUUUGUUUGGCUUCUUGGAACCUCAGUUCCUCCAUCUAUAAAAUGGAUCUUCAAGUUCUCAGCUAUUCCUAGACUUCUCCACCCUCUUCCUGUCUACUUUCUCCCAGUAGGUCAUGCUGGUCAGCUUUCAAAGCUACAUGCAUGCCAGUGACCCAAGGGUCUGUCUUCAGCCUAGCUCCUCUGAACGCUGGGGUUUUAGUCACGUGACCAUCCCCAUUUGAACAGUUGUCUGUAGGUCAGCAAACAGAGCCAUUGUUUUU